CUGGCCCUGAAUCAAGGCCAGGAGCUUCCUGACACUGUUGGUUUCAAGCAGGAGCCUAAAGAGAUGUCUUUCUAUGUCCUGUUGGCCAUUUCAGAACUUGGGCAGUGAAAUGGUCAAUUCAUUAGAAAGAAACAGCU
ensembl:snoRNA